AACGAACGCUGGCGGCAGGCUUAACACAUGCAAGUCGAACGCUCCGCAAGGAGAGUGGCAGACGGGUGAGUAACGCGUGGGAACGUACCUUUCAGUUCGGAAUAACUCAGGGAAACUUGUGCUAAUAACGGAUACGCUCGUAAGCGGAAAGAUUUAUCGCUGAAAGAUCGGCCCGCGUUGGAUUAGCUAGUUGGUGGGGUAAUGGCCUACCAAGGCGACGAUCCAUAGCUGGUCUGAGAGGAUGAUCAGCCACACUGGGACUGAGACACGGCCCAGACUCCUACGGGAGGCAGCAGUGGGGAAUAUUGGACAAUGGGCGAAAGCCUGAUCCAGCCAUGCCGCGUGAGUGAUGAAGGCCCUAGGAUUGUAAAGCUCUUUCACCGAUGAAGAUAAUGACGGUAGUCGGAGAAGAAGCCCCGGCUAACUUCGUGCCAGCCGCCGCCGUAA
rnacentral:rRNA from 1 species